rnacentral:rRNA from 1 species
UACGGGGUGGGCAAGCGUUGUUCGGAAUUACUGGGCGUAAAGGGCUCGUAGGCGGCCAACUAAGUCAGACGUGAAAUCCCUCAGCUUAACUGGGGAACUGCGUCUGAUACUGGAUGGCUUGGAUUCGGGAGAGGAAUGCGGAAUUCCAGGUGUAGCGGUGAAAUGCGUAGAUAUCUGGAGGAACACCGGUGGCGAAGGCGGCAUUCUGGACCGAUAUUGACGCUGAGGAGCGAAAGCCAGGGGAGCAAACGGG